rnacentral:rRNA from 1 species
CUACGUGCCAGCAGCCGCGGUAAUACGGAGGGUGCGAGCGUUAAUCGGAAUAACUGGGCGUAAAGGGCACGCAGGCGGUGACUUAAGUGAGGUGUGAAAGCCCCGGGCUUAACCUGGGAAUUGCAUUUCAUACUGGGUCGCUAGAGUACUUUAGGGAGGGGCGGAAUUCCACGUGUAGCGGUGAAAUGCGUAGAGAUGUGGAGGAAUACCGAAGGCGAAGGCAGCCCCUUGGGAAUGUACUGACGCUCAUGUGCGAAAGCGUGGGGAGCAAACAGGAUUAGAUACCCUGGUAGUCCACGCUGUAAACGAUGUCGAUUUGGGGGUUGAGCUUUAAGCUUGGCGCCCGUAGCUAACGUGAUAAAUCGACCGCCUGGGGAGUACGGCCGCAAGGUUAAAACUCAAAUGAAUUGACGGGGGCCCGCACAAGCGGUGGAGCAUGUGGUUUAAUUCGAUGCAACGCGAAGAACCUUACCUACUCUUGACAUCCAGAGAACAUUC